rnacentral:rRNA from 1 species
UACAGAGGGGGCAAGCGUUGUUCGGAAUUACUGGGCGUAAAGGGCGCGUAGGCGGCCUGCUAAGUCGAACGUGAAAUCCCUGGGCUCAACCCAGGAACUGCGUCCGAUACUGGUUGGCUUGAAUCCGGGAGAGGGACGUGGAAUUCCAGGUGUAGCGGUGAAAUGCGUAGAUAUCAGGAAGAACACCCGUGGCGAAAGCGGCUCUCUGGAACGGUACUGACGCUGAGACGCGAAAGCGUGGGGAGCGAACAGG